rnacentral:rRNA from 1 species
GACGAACGCUGGCGGCGCGCUUAACACAUGCAAGUCGAGCGACGCGGCGGACGGGUGAGUAACCCGUGAGUCACCUGCCUUAGACAUUGGGAUAGCCUCGGGAAACCGGGAUUAAUCCCACAUGGUCUAAGAUGGACUCGCGUCCCCUUAGCUCGUUGGUGCGGUACCGGCCCACCAAGGCGACGCUGGGUAGCCGGCCGGAGAGGGGGAACGGCCACAUUGGAACUGGGAAACGGUCCAAACUCGACGGGAGGCAGCAGUGGGGAAUAUUGCACAAUGGAGGGAACUGUGAUGCAGCGACGCCGCGUGAACGAAGAAGGCUUUGGAGUCGUAAAGUUCUUUUAUAUGGGAAGCGGUACCAUAAGAAAAAGCCCCGGCUAACUACGUGCCAGCAGCCGCGGUAAUAC